GAUGAAAAUUUUACAUAGAUUUGAAAUUUGGUUAAACUAGAUUCAGAUUUUUAGAUUCAAUAGUUUUCCUUAUUUAUUUUGCUUUUUUAGGAAGCUGCUCGUUCAAGAAAAGUAGAAAUUAUAAUAGUAAUGUUAGGAAACUCUAAGACAGGGAACUGCAACCUUAAAGACUCAAAGAGCCAUUUGGACCCAUUUCCCACAGAAAAGAAAACUCCAGGAGCCACAAAACCCUUCCCAUGCCUGACUAACGCUAGCAUAUGUAGUUGAGACAGGGAGCCGCAGCAGAGGGGUGAAAGAGCCACAUGUGGCUCCAGAGCCAUAGGUUGCUGAUCCCUGCUGUAAGAAAACUAAUAUCAUAAACAGUACUGAGAAUUAGAAAUGUGUACUGAAACCAAGUUUUUCCCUUUUUCUAGUUAAGAAAUACUUGUGCCCAAUUGCUGCUACAAAGUUGGCUACUGGUCCAAUUUACAAAUAUAUAUUCCAAUUAAUUAAUAAUAGCACUAGAACUUAUCAUUUAGGUACUCAUAGGUUGAUAAACUAUCACACUACAGAGAGGAGUCAGGAUUUUAUAAGAUGGUAGUCUUUAAAGUUUCAGUCAGUUUAUUAUUUACAUAGCUGUCUCUAUUGUGUAUUGAAACUUGAUUGAUUUGAUGCAUUCUGGAGAUUAUAGAACCUUGCCAUUUUGCUAGUAAAAACAUCACAACUUUUCAUGGAAAAUCUAUUUUAGAAACAAUAUCCUUGGCUUCUGAAUUCUACUUCAGGAACAGCUUAAACAUACAAAUAAAAAGUCACAUCGCAAUCAAAAAGAAAAGAAAAAGAAAAGAAAAAGGAGAGAAUUAGAGGUGCAGAAAUAUAUGACUAUUCAAAAAAAAAAAAUGUUCUUGAGAGGUGCUCCUGUCACUUUUUAAAAUAUUUUGUCUUCAGGACUUAUUGCAAUAGAAAAUUUAUUUAUUUAUUCAUUGGAAUUUGUCAAACAAAAAUGAGAACAAGAAUAAGAGAGUAACUGACUGAAACUGUGAAAAUUUGUAGCUGAGACAACUGAAUCAGCAGGAAGGGGGCGGUGCUGAAAUUUCCAGGAGACUCGGUCAUUGGAGGACAGCCAUGCCAUUACCCAGGCAUGACUGCCGUGGGCACCCUGCAGGAGAAAAAGUCAUUUACAGUAUUUAGAUUCCAAUUUCUAGCACCAAAAAGAACAUAAAGAUAUACCAAAUCGUCCUGCUGAGUCCAGUCCAGCAUCCUGUUUCUAACAACUAAUCAGAUGCAUCUGUUCAUCCUGUAAACAACAGAUGAUUACAAUAUAGCAGAGAAGGUGAUAUAGAAUCAGGAUAGAAAUACAGUUUUCCAGAUGUGGUUAGCUGUCGGCCUAUAACUUUUGAAAAUCUAUUAAACACUGAUUUAUUUUCCAUU